rnacentral:rRNA from 1 species
UACGUAGGGGGCAAGCGUUGUCCGGAUUUAUUGGGCGUAAAGCGCUCGCAGGUGGUUCGUCGCGUCGUGCGUGAAAGACCCCGGCUCAACUGGGGAGGGUCACGCGAUACUGAUCGACUCGAAGGCAGGAGAGGGAAGUGGAAUUCCCCGGUGUAGUGGUGAAAUGCGUAGAUAUCGGGAGGAACACCAGUGGCGAAGGCGACUUCCUGGCCUGUUCUUGACGCUGAGGCGCGAAAGCUAGGGGAGCAAACGGGG